GGCUUUUUACUAGGGAAUUUAAUAUUAAUUCCAUUAAUAAACGUUGUAGUUAUAUUAGGAAAUAUUAUAGUUCUAUUCUAUAAAAUACCUC
rnacentral:tRNA from 1 species